UGCUUGCUUUGGCAGCACAUUACUAAAAUUGGAACAAUAAAGAGAUUAGCAUGGCACCUGCACAAGGAUGACACGCAAAUUCGUGAAGUGUUCAAUAUUUUU